rnacentral:rRNA from 1 species
AUUGAACGCUGGCGGCAUGCUUUACACAUGCAAGUCGAACGGUAACAGGUUAAGCUGACGAGUGGCGAACGGGUGAGUAAUGCAUCGGAACGUGCCCGGUCGUGGGGGAUAACGCAGCGAAAGCUGCGCUAAUACCGCAUACGAUCUGAGGAUGAAAGCGGGGGACCGUAAGGCCUCGCGCGAUCGGAGCGGCCGAUGUCAGAUUAGGUAGUUGGUGGGGUAAAGGCUCACCAAGCCAACGAUCUGUAGCUGGUCUGAGAGGACGACCAGCCACACUGGGACUGAGACACGGCCCAGACUCCUACGGGAGGCAGCAGUGGGGAAUUUUGGACAAUGGGCGAAAGCCUGAUCCAGCAAUGCCGCGUGCAGGAAGAAGGCCUUCGGGUUGUAAACUGCUUUUGUACGGAGCGAAAAGGUCUCCUCUAAUACAGGGGGCUCAUGACGGUACCGUAAGAAUAAGCACCGGCUAACUACGUGCCAGCCGCCGCCGUAA